rnacentral:rRNA from 1 species
CAAGUCGAGGGGUAGAGGAAGCUUGCUUCCUUGAGACCGGCGCACGGGUGCGUAACGCGUAUGCAAUCUACCUUGUACAGAGGGAUAGCCCAGAGAAAUUUGGAUUAAUACCUCAUGGUAUUAUUGAAUGGCAUCAUUUGAUAAUUAAAGUUCCAACGGUACAAGAUGAGCAUGCGUCCUAUUAGCUAGAUGGUAAGGUAACGGCUUACCAUGGCUACGAUAGGUAGGGGUCCUGAGAGGGAGAUCCCCCACACUGGUACUGAGACACGGACCAGACUCCUACGGGAGGCAGCAGUGAGGAAUAUUGGACAAUGGGCGCAAGCCUGAUCCAGCCAUGCCGCGUGCAGGAAGACGCAUCUAUGGUGUGUAAACUGCUUUUGUACGGGAAGAAACACUCCCUCGUGAGGGAGCUUGACGGUACCGUAAGAAUAAGGAUCGGCUAACUCCGUGCCAGCAGCCGCGGUAAUACGGAGGAUCCAAGCGUUAUCCGGAAUCAUUGGGUUUAAAGGGUCCGUAGGCGGCCUUGUAAGUCAGUGGUGAAAUCUCCCGGCUCAACCGGGAAACUGCCAUUGAUACUGCAGGGCUUGAAUAAUCGGGAAGUAACUAGAAUAUGUAGUGUAGCGGUGAAAUGCUUAGAU